rnacentral:sRNA from 1 species
AGUGCUGCGAGAUUGCUCCUCAAGCAGGAACCCAAAACAGGAUUUAAGUCAGAAUGUGGAGGUCACAGCUCGUGGGUGGGGGGGCGAAAAUGUAGGGAAAAGGGUACGAAAGACCAAAUGCCCGGCUCUUACUGUUCGUUGGCGUGCUGGAGUCCAGAGCCAAGGCUGGUUAAGAUGGAAAGUGUCUGAUGAAAGAGAAUGAUGUGCUUGGAGCUUUGUCUUCCUGACAAAUUUGUUCUGUUCUUCAGGCUUCAAACCUAAUGAACAAUCCCCAGAUUCAGCAGCUCAUGUCCGGCAUGAUUUCGGGUAGCAACAACCCCUUGGGAACUCCCGGCACCAGCCCCUCGCAGAACGACCUGGCCAGCCUCAUCCAGGCGGGUCAGCAGUUUGCCCAGCAGAUGCAGCAGCAGAACCCAGAGUUGAUAGAGCAGCUCAGGAGCCAGAUCCGGAGUCGGACGCCCAGCGCCAGCAACGACGACCAGCAGGAGUGACGCUGCCCGCUCCCGGUGUGACUGCAUCCUUCCCUGGCCGACUGGAAGGAAGCCUCUGGUUGUCUGCCACUUCCUCCUGUUGGACUGCCUGAGAGAGGGGAAGAGAGAGACCUCGGACCUGCAUGUCAAGAUGGAUUUUCCCCUUUUAUCUCUGCCCUCCUCCACUCCCUUUUUGUAACUCCCUUACAGCCCCCAGACCCUUCUUGAAACGAGAGCCAGCAAGCUGAACACAGACCAGCAGCGACCUCCCUUCCAGCCCCCAGAAAGCUCAGUCACCCGAGUGUUUUCUAGAAUCCUGGGGUGCUCCCGGGCCGCUCUCGGAGAAGCGGCAGGUUUCACGUUCGGUCGUGUGGCGGAUCGUGUGGCUUCCAAAGCCUUUUACGGCCCCCG